rnacentral:rRNA from 1 species
GAUGAACGCUGGCGGCGUGCCUAAUACAUGCAAGUCGAGCGAACAGACGAGGAGCUUGCUCCUCUGACGUUAGCGGCGGACGGGUGAGUAACACGUGGAUAACCUACCUAUAAGACUGGGAUAACUUCGGGAAACCGGAGCUAAUACCGGAUAAUAUAUUGAACCGCAUGGUUCAAUAGUGAAAGACGGAUUUGCUGUCACUUAUAGAUGGAUCCGCGCCGCAUUAGCUAGUUGGUAAGGUAACGGCUUACCAAGGCAACGAUGCGUAGCCGACCUGAGAGGAUGAUCGGCCACACUGGAACUGAGACACGGUCCAGACUCCUACGGGAGGCAGCAGUGGGGAAUCUUCCGCAAUGGGCGAAAGCCUGACGGAGCAACGCCGCGUGAGUGAUGAAGGUCUUCGGAUCGUAAAACUCUGUUAUUAGGAAAGAACAAAUGUGUAAGUAACUAUGCACGUCUUGACGGUACCUAAUCAGAAAGCCACGGCUAACUACGUG